GUUUUCAAAUGAGUCCAGUAUAUAACCUAUUCCUUGGCGGGCUAAAGAAUUGGGUCCCGCCUGUAAAAAUGUAACCUAUAAAAUCCGCCACUGAAACCGUAGGAGAGAGAAACAACCAAGUGUACUCUUCAUUUUUAACCAAACCCCUUUUUAUCACCGGAAUUCCAUUCAUUCCGCUCUAUUUCCCUCUCUUUCUCUCUCUAUAUUAUCUGCAAUGGCAAGCAUCAAAGGAAAGAACGUCUUGAUUAACCUUUCUUCAUCUUCUUCUUCCGACGAUAAUGGCGACGAUGACGACACAGCCUCCGAUUCUGCUUCAUCUUCUAGUGGAGAUGAAUGUGAGUUGAUUGAUGAUGACGGUGAUUACGAGAUUGAAGAUGAUGAAUCUGAGGAAGAUGAUUAUUCAAAAGAUGACUAUAAUGGAACUGAAGAUGAUGAUCAUUCUCUCUCUAAUCGCGUCAUUCAGUUUCUUCAAGGAAGACGUGAUUUGCAAGAGUUAAGUCUUAAAGCAUGCAAAGCAUAUUUGAGAAGACAUGAUCUUAGAGUAUCAGGAAACAAGGACGAGUGUAUUCGUAGGGUGCAAGAGCACCAUAGGAUAAAAGAUGGGAAAGCUGAAAUUCUCUACCCAAGUUCAUCCUUUGUCAUCAAUUGCACAGCAGGUGAUGUCUGCAAGGGAGACACUGUCCUCUUCAAACAAAAAGUGUAUGGAAGUUUUGACAAAGUGACAAGACAAGGUAAACUUUUGGGGAAAAGAACAGUUGCUGGACGAGUCGUGAAAGAAAGCUAUGGUGCAGCAAAGCAACAGCAUACAUUCACAGUUGAGGUACUAUGGAGCAAGGGAAUAAAGAAACUGCCUCCUCUCUUUCCUUUGCUCGUCAAGGGCCGAAAUCUCUAUAGAUUGAAGACCUGCAGGCAGCCAUGGAAGAACGAGGGAGAAAGAAGAUUAGUUCUUGCGGAAAAGCAUAGGCGAGGGACAGCUGCACGAUAUAAGAGAGCAAAGAGGAAGAAUGCUUUGUCUACUGAUAAAGGAGGGAAAUCUCGGAAGGUUUCUCAUCGUGGAAGAUCUUCUCAGUUGAAUUAUCCCAAAGGAGACAAACAUUUUGGUGCAGAGCAGAGGGCCUCAUCUUCAAAAAACCACCAUUACACUAAUCAGCAGCGUAAUGUGAAACAAGGAGCUGUUGUAAACUCUAACAGAGAAAAAUUUUCCAAACCCUUCCGGGACCCUCAAAAGCUAGUAUCCCGGGACAACAGGGCUUCUACAUUGCAUUCAUUUCAUGGUGCUUCUCAAAGUUAUUCUGAAUCUCUAGUGGGACCUCAUAGGAGUUCUCCAUUUGGCUUACGUUCUGCAGUUUUCCUGAGUGAUAUCCCUUAUCAUGGCGCAAGGGUGAUGCCCGCAGCACAAAAUGGUGAUUUCAGUCAUAGCUCCUUUCGUAAUUCUUAUGACAUUCAAUUACCACGGGUGAAUCAUGUGGACUCGAGGCAGUUUUUCCCUUCAGGGGCUACACAUGGACAAAGGAUGAUUGGUCUUGUGAACUGCUCAAUUCAUGGAUGUCAUGAACCAGGAUCUAAUAGUUGUGUCAUUUCUGCGUGUUGGAGGUGUUGUCGAAGGGUGGGAAUGGUGUGCAAUGUCCAUAGAUGACAACCAAUUCUUUGGUGUUCUUUAUCCAUAUGCUUAUACCAAAUCUCAUCCCUGGUGCUUGUUUAUUGUCUAGCCCUAUUGUUAAGAUGCAUGGGAGUUGGACUCUUCAUAUCUACAGAACUUGUGUCUGAGGAUUUACUUAUGCGUGGGCCUUUUUGCCAAUUUGCUUGAUUGCAUUCAUCGUCAACCUGGUAUGUUUUUUGGAUUAUACUAGCAUGACAUACUGUUUGCUGUCUUUAUGUUAUUUCGUUGACAAAAUUCAGAAGAACAAUGCUAAACUAAUCUAUAUAUGGGUAUUAGCUGGUAUAUUAUCAAUUGUGAAAAGCUUAAGAUAUUGCCUAAAAAGGGUAGGCGCUAUAAUUUAGUUAUUUUUGUACAUGCUGUAUUUAGUCAUAAGGAGAAAAUAGUUCAAGCAGUAUCUUUUUUGCAGUUGUUGCUGCUAGGUUAUAUAUUUGUCGGGGUUAUAAAGCUUUAGUUGAGCUAUUCAUAUCCUUCUAGAAUAGCUACGUUACAGACUUACAGAAAAUGGCCCUACAAAUGGAAAUAUGACUAGAGGUGGUUCUCACUGUGCUUGAUUCUUACCUCCCAUGCAACUUGAAUAUGGAUCUAUGAAAAGAAAAUCUGAAAAAUAGCUGAGGCUCAUGCUCUGAGCCUUAUAAUCGCAUGAGAUGCUAGUUCCCGAGUUUGACAAUUUAGAGUUGGCUUUGCUUGCUCAUCCUGUAUGUUGCCUGACUAUAGUUAACAUUUUAAGUAAGAACAACGCUGUUAAAAAGAAUCAAGAAUUAUUGGUGAGCAGACAAUUUACAUCAUCAUGUCGUGUCCACAACUUUUUGAGAUGUUUCAUAAUUGGAUAUUUGAUGUGGAAGUGUUGGACAUUGGACAAGGCUGGAAACAGAGAACUUGAAUUCGUUGCAGUAUGCACAUGAUAGGGCUAAGUCCCCACUAAAUGACGGCCUUGGACCUUUCAUAGAAAUAUCACUGUCUGACUCAUUUCUAAACUUCCCUUUUGACCGGACUACAUGGUACCUUAACCUCCAUCCAUUCACUUUCCAAUAACAACAAUUCAACCUUCUGAAUGUUACUGGAGUGAAUUUUCUUGUCAGUUAUAGGAAAGAAAUUUGUGGGGCCGUUAAGAUUCAAUUAGGCUACAAUAAGUUUGUGUCCUCAAUUACAACACGAAGUCUCUUUAUCUUCCAUGCAACUCUUGCCCCCAUUGUAUGCUCCAUUUUCACUCUUUGUUCCACUGUUUAAGCUAGAUCCUUAUUUUUAGGGCCAAUAUAGACUUUACUAGAUUCGCCUUCUCAAUUAUUAUAGUUGCCUAAGGCUUUAACGUGGCAUUUUAACACAUAAUGAUUCAGAAAGCACUUGCCGAUGCCAACGACCUAGGGGUAAAGUAGGGAAGAAAAACUUACUUCCAACCAGUUUAGUUUGUAGUUAACCAAAGGUCUCUUAGUCUAUUGGCAGUAUGUUCCCUCCUUAGACUCGGCCCAAGUCAUCAACAUUCGUUGCCAAGAGAAGUGUUGGGUAUGCAACAAAUUUAAGUCUGGUUUUCAACCUCUUGUUUGGGAUAGAAUUUCUAGCAUCAGCUGUUUAGGGCUAAGGUGCAUACGACGGGAUAAGGGAUGUGCUUCUUUACAAUAAUAUGUAUGUAUUCCCUCCGUCCCAUAUUAUAGUUCAUGUUUCUAUUUUUGGAUAGUAUGUAAAGACUAUUAUACCCUCAUUUUUUAACUUUAUUCAUUAUAUUUAUUCAAUUACCCUUGAAUUUUCCACUUGUCUUGUACUUUUUUUCACUUUCUCUCUCUAACUUUUGUCUAUAAUUGUACAUUUUACCUUUUUUAUGUACUUCAUUCACUUUUUCCUCUCUAACUUUUGUCUAUAAUUGUACUCUUCACUUUUUUUUUAUGU